ensembl:snRNA U1 U1 spliceosomal RNA
AUACUUACCUGGCAGGGGUGCGAUACCAUGAUCAUGAAGGUGGUUCACCCAGGGCGAGGCUCUGCUCUGGUGCUGACCCUUGCGAAUUCCCCAAAUGCGGGAAUCUCGACUGCAUAAUUUCUGGUAGUGGGGGACUGCGUUCGCGCUCUCCCCUG